GAAGUGAAGUUCUGACAUGAAGCUUUAGCUUUCUGGUACUAUGAAGGGUUAGCCUAAUUUUGGAACAUCAGAAGUUCAGAACUGUUUCCUGUCCAAUAUCUUGUUUGUGUCAGCGUGUCAGAUACCUUAAAUAUCAUAUCGUGUUUAUUCUGUUGGAUGCAGAGUUUGUUAAAACAUUUGGGUUCACGGUAUUAUAUUAUGCUUUUGAACCUAGUUAAACACAUUCUGUGCGUGCAAAUUUCCGUGCUGUGAUGAUUAAUUCGUCGUGGUAAUUCUGGACCUACUGUGAUGGUAAUUUUGCCUGGGACGUUCACAGUUUCUCUGGAGGGUUGAUACUUUCGGUUGAGGAUUUUGUCAUAUUAUGUGGAUAUAAAUAAAUU
rnacentral:lncRNA from 1 species